CAGCUGGUCAGAGCAGGCUUCCCUGGUGGGCUGUAGUCUACAGACAGUCAAAAAAGAAAGAGAAAGCACACAGUAAAAAGGAUGUAUUAUUUAUAUACAAAAAAAGGAGACAACCUACCAACCAAUGAGACACCUCUAAGAUGUCUUACCUCGUUGCCAGAGAUUUAAGAAGAUACUGUGUUUUCAAGCACUUACGUGUUCCCCUAGCAUGCAGCGUGAAGACUAGCAACAACAGCAGGAUUGCUUCCAAGACUUUCUUCAUCAUGGCACCACAAAGCCUUUACUGUUAGAGAGAGAGAAAAAAACAAACAAUGAAAGGUGAGGAUGGGAAACUGCCUGACCAUGACACAUGACAAGAACUGUAAUGUUUGAUCCUAUCCACCAAAAUAGCAGAACUGCUUUGUCUUGUAUUGAGUGACAACAUGCUUGCAUGAUGGAAAGGAAAAACAUGAAGGAUGACGCCUGCUGUACAGUAGCUGGGAUGUUUUGUUUCAUUAUUCUAUCACACAGUGUUUGAGAGUAAAGAUAUACAUGCAAUACUAAAAAUGUAUUUAAAAGGUAGAGUCAACAAUUCCAAAUUACACAUUUUUGUCAAAUUCCGCUAAUAUUUCCUCACAGUUCACCAGUUGUCUAUUUUGUGUGUGCGCUGAAAAAACAUCAGGUGUCCAUACACAGCAGUGACUCUGUACAUGGGUAUGUAAACACGGUGGUUCGAAGCAACCUACACAACAACUUUUUAACCGUAUUCGUGAAUCAAUAAAUACAAACACAUUG